rnacentral:rRNA from 1 species
GUGCACCAGUCGCGAAUACUUUACAAUGUGCGAAAGCACGAUAAGGGAACUCUGAGUGCCUCCUAAGGAGGCUGUUCUGAUGUCUAAAAAGCAACAGAAGUAAGGGCUGGGUAAGACCGGUGCCAGCCGCCGCGGUAACACCGGCAGCCCAAGUGGUAGCCACGUUUAUUGGGCCUAAAGCGUCCGUAGCCGGCUCGGUAAAUGCCUGGGUAAAUCGUCUGGCCCAACCAGACGAAUUCCGGGUAGACUGCCGGGCUAGGGACCGGAGGAGGGAGAGGGUACUCCAGGGGUAGGGGUGAAAUCAGCAAGGUGAGUUGCUGAUGUAACUUGCCUUGCAAGUCACAAUCCUGUAAUCCCUGGAGGACCACCGGUGGCGAAGGCGCUCUCCUAGGACGGGUCCGACGGUGAGGGACGAAAGCCAGGGGAGCAAACCGGAUUAGAUACCCCCGUA